rnacentral:rRNA from 2 species
AGUACCGUGAGGGAAAGGCGAAAAGAACCCCGGAGAGGGGAGUGAAAUAGAUCCUGAAACCGUAUGCGUACAAGCAGUGGGAGCCCACUUUGUUGGGUGACUGCGUACCUUUUGUAUAAUGGGUCAGCGACUUAUUUUCAGUGGCGAGCUUAACCGAAUAGGGGAGGCGUAGCGAAAGCGAGUCUUAAUAGGGCGUCUAGUCGCUGGGAAUAGACCCGAAACCGGGCGAUCUAUCCAUGGGCAGGUUGAAGGUUGGGUAACACUAACUGGAGGACCGAACCGACUACCGUUGAAAAGUUAGCGGAUGACCUGUGGAUCGGAGUGAAAGGCUAAUCAAGCUCGGAGAUAGCUGGUUCUCCUCGAAAGCUAUUUAGGUAGCGCCUCAUGUAUCACUGUAGGGGGUAGAGCACUGUUUCGGCUAGGGGGUCAUCCCGACUUACCAAACCGAUGCAAACUCCGAAUACCUACAAGUGCCGAGCAUGGGAGACACACGGCGGGUGCUAACGUCCGUCGUGAAAAGGGAAACAACCCAGACCGUCAGCUAAGGUCCCAAAGUUAUGGUUAAGUGGGAAACGAUGUGGGAAGGCUUAGACAGCUAGGAGGUUGGCUUAGAAGCAGCCACCCUUUAAAGAAAGCGUAAUAGCUCACUAGUCGAGUCGGCCUGCGCGGAAGAUGUAACGGGGCUCAAACCAUACACCGAAGCUACGGGUAUCACGUAAGUGAUGCGGUAGAGGAGCGUUCUGUAAGCCUGUGAAGGUGAGUUGAGAAGCUUGCUGGAGGUAUCAGAAGUGCGAAUGCUGACAUGAGUAACGAUAAUGGGUGUGAAAAACACCCACGCCGAAAGACCAAGGUUUCCUGCGCAACGUUAAUCGACGCAGGGUUAGUCGGUCCCUAAGGCGAGGCUGAAAAGCGUAGUCGAUGGAAAACAGGUUAAUAUUCCUGUACUUCUGGUUAUUGCGAUGGAGGGACGGAGAAGGCUAGGCCAGCUUGGCGUUGGUUGUCCAAGUUUAAGGUGGUAGGCUGGAAUCUUAGGUAAAUCCGGGAUUCUAAGGCCGAGAGCUGAUGACGAGUUA